AUAAACGAUGAACCCGGAAGUGAUGGGAAUUACGCAGCGGGUUUCGGAGUGACAAGCGGGUUUAGUAAUACGGCCGGUGAUUUGAAAUUUCCACUGACAGUACAGGGCAUAGUAAUGAUAGAGAGAAGGCCAGUAACCAAGUGUGGUUUUCGACUGAGUUUUUUAAAGCAAAGGAAUUGUUCGUCGCACAUGACGUUUGCACCUCGAGGUAAAGCAGUUAUAUAUUAAAUUUAGAGUACCCUCUAUUGAACAUGUCAUGAUGCUGAGAUUCUCUUCUGGUCAUGGAGAAAAGUACUGAUGCACCUGAUGUGCAGGAGUUUCCAUCCAUCCGUUGUGUUGCUGUUAAUGCUCAUGCCAAAGAAACAAGAAAUAGUGAUGAAGCCAAAAAUGGGAAGGCCAUGGGUUUUGUGUUGGUGCACGCAGGUGCUGGCUAUCACUCAGAGUCCAAAGCAAAAGAAUAUAAGCAUGCUUGUAAGAGGGCAUGUCAAAAGGCAGUUGAAAAGCUUAAGUCUGGCGCACUUGCAGUUGAUGCAGUAACAGCAGCUUUGAUCGUUUUGGAGGAUUCUACUUUUACCAAUGCUGGGACUGGUUCCAAUUUGAACCUGUCAGGGGACAUUGAGUGUGAUGCAAGCAUCAUGGAUGGGAAGUCCUUACAUUUUGGUGCAAUUGGGGCACUUAGUGGAAUAAAGAAUCCAGUUUUGGUUGCAAAUCGACUCUUGAGUGAAGCUCAGAAAGGGAAGCUGUCUGCUGGCAGGAUUCCUCCUUGUUUUUUAGUGGGAAGAGGAGCAUAUCAAUGGGCCCUGGACCAUGGGAUUCCACCAUGCUCUCUUGACAAAAUGACUACUAAGUUCAGUUUAUCAGCAUAUAGGAGGAACAAGCGGAAGAUGGAAUUGGCUGAGAAGGUGGAAAUGGACGUCAUUCAGACAAAGAGGAGAAGACAAUCAAGUUCACACGAGAAUGACACUGGUUCAUUGGAUACUGUGGGAGCGAUAGUUGUUGACAAUGAAGGGAAUGUUGCUGCUGCUGUUUCCAGUGGAGGCUUAGCCAUGAAGCAUCCAGGCAGAGUUGGUCAGGCGGCUCACUAUGGAUGUGGUUGCUGGGCUGAAAAUGCAGGGAACCUAAACCCUUAUUCUACAGCUGUGAGUACCUCAGGCUGUGGAGAGCAUCUUGUUAGGACAAUGCUGGCCAGGGAAUGUUCAAUAGCAUUGCAGUCAGAAGAUGCUCAUCUUGCCUUGCUGGAGACUAUGCAAAAUAAAUUCAUCAGUUCUUCAUUCUUAGCCAGUGAAGAGUGCGUACUUGGAGGUGUAAUAGUCCUUAGAACCUGCAGGUGUGCUGUACAGUCUGAGGCAUCUCAGAACAUUCAGGCACUUUUAGUGGAAUUCUUGUGGAGCCAUACAACAGAGAGCAUGUGUGUUGGUUAUAUGUCAGCUCAAGAUGGGAAAGCCAAGACUCACAUUUCAAGACUUCCUCCUGGAGCAGUUGCUGGGCAGUCUCUCGCCAUUGAGGGAGGAGUUUGCAGACUUGGAACAUCAGUAAAUUAAGGAGCCAGCUGGCUGGCACCAAAGAAUGUCAUCCUUAGAAGCAUUAAGGAGUACAAAAUAUUUAUUCAACUUCAAGCAUUAGGUCUUGAGCUCUGAGAAGAUGUUCACUGAGGGCGACUGACUUAGUCCCUUCUGGUUGAUGAGCUAUAGAACCAGGGCAUUCCCAAAAGAAGGCAUCUCACUCAGGAGUGAGCCACACAUGCCACGGAUCUUCUGACCCUGAAGCCUGUUCAUUCUCUAGAGCCAUUAAACUACAGCCUAAGGCCACAUUUUGCUUCUGUUUUAUUGUCGCUCCACUGUGUGUUUGUUAAUUUGAGCAAAUUUACUGUUUUGGAGUAAAUGGUGUUGCCUAGUUGGCACGCCAACAUUUGAUCUUGACUUGUCUUACCCUUGACUGACGACACUACAUGUUCCCUGAAAACUGCAGUUGUAAAGAAUGAAGCCCUGCCAUUAAUGUUUAUUCUUCUUAGGAUGCUGCGUGCUUUGUACUUAAAUUUUCUAACCGUAUUCCACUUGCAGUAGAAAGUGUUGCCUCCAAGAUCUGAUGUAAUGGGUAAAAAAAUCUUAUUGCAGUGUAGGAAAUAGUUUGUAAUGAAUGUUUUUCCUUUGCACUUGCACUCUUUUUUUGCAGGUACAAUGCAAAUAAUAGCUCAGUUCAUAGUGUGCCCAUUUCAUAAAAAACGCAAGUAAAGCAUCUCUUACAUUCUUACUGUUAUUGUAUAGGCAUACUGUCAUUCUUGAAUUUUAUUUAUGUAUUUAUUUAUUUAUUUAUUUUUUUUAACAAUGAACUUAGAAUAGGUAGGUGCGUAUUUUAAUAUGGCGGCUCACUCUGUUGGAGAGGUCAGUCACUUAAUUUUUAAAAAUAUUAUAUUAAAAUGUGAACUAAUGUUUGUAGUUAAAUUAUGUGACCCAUCCUGGCUAAAUGAGUUAGAAACUGAAGUGGUAGACAAUUGCAAACCUAGUGAGUAAUUUCUGGUUGAGCCAUGGUGCAUACAGGAACAGGGGAAUAGGGUGUUUCAAUAUAUGGAUGGAGCAGAAUUAGUUUCUAAUAAAGAAAACACUUUAUUUGGAAAAUAACAGCCAGAAUGUGAGGCAAUACACUCCAGAUUUUCUGCAGUCUCUCUGAGUUAGGGAUAUCCACCAUAUUCAAUUAUAUUAGCCUUUUAAAGCUCCUUAUCCAUUCUUGGGGUAGUUGAAGGUAGACAGACACCACAAUGUGUCAUUUAUGAAGCUGCAUUGUCUGUCUUUUUUGAAAAUUUGCCUGCCAUAAUUCUUUUACGCAGUUAAGGCAUUUUGUUUAUUUUCAUUUUUCUUCUAAAAGCUAUGAUGCCAUCCUUAUGUGUCCAUUGUUGCUAAUGAAGAACAAGAAAGACUUCUGCUAAAUGUUUGUCUGUAUCAGGCAGACCAUGCAGACAGCUGGCUGCAACCCAGAAGCCGGAGAGUCUUUUACACCUUAUAAUCAUGAUUGCGGGCUGCAGUAGAUUUAUAGUCUCUAAAGAAAUUACACACUGGCCAGUGAUGCACAGUAAAAAUAGACUUUGAAAAGUCAAUGAAAUGGGUGUAUGUACAAAUGAUCUCUGAAUGAUGCACAAUUAAAAUAAUUGUCUCCACUGGAAUAGAGUAGUUUUGUGUUUAUCUUGGGUAGUGUUUAUAUUU